CGCAUUAGCUAGACGGCGGGGUAACGGCCCACCGUGGCGACGAUGCGUAGGGGUUCUGAGAGGAAGGUCCCCCACACUGGUACUGAGACACGGACCAGACUCCUACGGGAGGCAGCAGUGAGGAAUAUUGGUCAAUGGGAGAGAUCCUGAACCAGCCAAGCCGCGUGAGGGAAGACGGCCCUAUGGGUUGUAAACCUCUUUUGUCGGAGAACAAAACCCGGGACGUGUCCCGGACUGCGUGUAUCCGAAGAAAAAGCAUCGGCUAACUCCGUGCCAGCAGCCGCGGUAAUACGGAGGAUGCGAGCGUUAUCCGGAUUUAUUGGGUUUAAAGGGUGCGUAGGCGGUCCGUUAAGUCAGCGGUAAAAUUGCGGGGCUCAACCCCGUCGAGCCGUUGAAACUGGCAGACUUGAGUUGGCGAGAAGUACGCGGAAUGCGCGGUGUAGCGGUGAAAUGCAUAGAUAUCGCGCAGAACUCCGAUUGCGAAGGCAGCGUACCGGCGCCAGACUGACGCUGAGGCACGAAAGCGUGGGGAUCGAACAGGAUUAGAUACCCUGGUAGUCCACGCAGUAAACGA
rnacentral:rRNA from 1 species